GAGGGUAUAGCUUAGGGAUAGAGUGCAUGCUUAGCAUGCACGAGGUCCUGGGUUCAGUCCCCAGUUCCUCCA
rnacentral:tRNA from 1 species